CAUAAAUAUGGAAACUUCUUCACCCGAAUAGGCUGCAUGCCAUAUAAUUGAUCAACAAUCGCCAGACGAUGGAAACCAAAACAACAGUUGGUGAAGCCAUUGACGUUUUCAAAACGAAAUGCAUCAGGACCUCGGUAUGUACCUGUUGGACAAUCAGAAGGGCUACUUCAUUCCUAUGAACCCCAAAUCAGAAUUCAACAUAUAUUUUAUUUUAUACAUUGUUUGAAGUACUAACCUGAAACCAUGGGCGGAGACAUUAUGUAAUCUUUGACUACUGGCUACUGUGCUUAUUUUGUCUUCCUGCUAGACCUAUCCAGGGGUUUGGGACUACCUACCCCGUCACUUUCCUCCACCCAUGGAAAAUCCAUAUAAUCUACUGUAAUCAAUUGAUUGCCAGUGUCUCUGAGACUAAUAAGCAAGGUGACACAGCACUGUGCAUAAUAAACCCACCUGCUUGAUUCUA